UGGGGAAUAUUGCACAAUGGGGGAAACCCUGAUGCAGCGACGCCGCGUGAACGAAGAAGGUAUUCGUAUCGUAAAGUUCUGUCCUAUGGGAAGAUAAUGACAGUACCAUAGAAGAAAGCUCCGGCUAAAUACGUGCCAGCAGCCGCGGUAAUACGUAUGGAGCGAGCGUUGUCCGGAAUUAUUGGGCGUAAAGGGUACGCAGGCGGUUUAAUAAGUCGAAUGUUAAAGAUCGGGGCUCAACCCCGCAAAGCAUUGGAAACUGAUAAACUUGAGUAGUGGAGAGGAAAGUGGAAUUCCUAGUGUAGUGGUGAAAUACGUAGAUAUUAGGAGGAAUACCAGGAGCGAAGGCGACUUUCUGGACACAAACUGACGCUGAGGUACGAAAGCGUGGGGGGCAAACAGG
rnacentral:rRNA from 1 species